AUUGAACGCUGGCGGCAGGCCUAACACAUGCAAGUCGAACGAGUGGCGGACGGGAGAGUAAUGUCUGGGACACUGCCUGAUGGAGGGGGAUAACUACGGGAAACGGUAGCUAAUACCGCAUACCCUCAGAUGUGCCCAGAGGGCUUUAGAGUGGUGGUGGGGUAACGGCUCACCAAGGCGACGAUCCCUAGCUGGUCUGAGAGGAUGACCAGCCACACUGGAACUGAGACACGGUCCAGACUCCUACGGUAGGCAGCAGUGGGGAAUAUUGCACAAUGGGCGCAAGCCUGAUGCAGCCAUGCCGCGUGUAUGAAGAAGGCCUUCGGGUUGUAAAGUACUUUCAGCGUGGAGGCGUUACCCGCAGAAGAAGCACCGGCUAACUCCGUGCCAGCAGCCGCGGUAAUUC
rnacentral:rRNA from 1 species